AUACGGAGGGGGCUAGCGUUGUUCGGAUUUACUGGGCGUAAAGCGCGCGUAGGCGGGCUGGUCAGUUGGGGGUGAAAUCCCAGGGCUUAACCCUGGAACUGCCCUCAAUACUGCCAGUCUUGAGUUCGAGAGAGGUAAGUGGAAUUCCUAGUGUAGAGGUGAAAUUCGUAGAUAUUAGGAAGAACACCAGUGGCGAAGGCGGCUUACUGGCUCGAUACUGACGCUGAGGCGCGAAAGCGUGGGGAGCAAACAGGAUUAGAUACCCCGGUAGUCC
rnacentral:rRNA from 1 species